AUGGGCCCAAUGGGCAUAGCCCACUAAGCCCAAGCAAGCCUAUUUAUGCAAUUCCAAUUAUCAUUCCCAUCCAUCAUCUUUAAAAUGAAGUGCUGUAACUCUCAAAAGUAAAUGUUCCAGUAAUAUUUUAUAACAACUAAAUAUUCAUAUUUAUAUUAUAUCAAAGUACUGUCAUCAUCAAUCCAACAUAUACAUACUUCAUUUAUAACAUGACUCUUAGUAGUUUACAUUACAUAUACAUGUUCACAAGUAAUAGACUCAAGAUCGCCAGCGGAGUGACUUUAAGUGAAAGUAUCGCUAUUAAGAUGCCAUAUUACCUACCAAGAAGGCGAGCAUAUGUGUGCGACUCAAUCUAGGUCCCAACUGCCUCUGAAUCUGAAAACAUGAAGUUUAAAAACGUGAGUAUAAACUUAGUGAGUAAACAUUAGAAGGGAACAAGUAAUCGAUAGGAAGAAUUUGAAAAUCAUGAUACACUUGUUUCAAAAACAAUGCACGUGAUUUAAUUUCUUACUAAAAACCCUUCAUUUCAAGCCUUGAUUAAUACCUUCAUAGUGUUUCACAAACCCAUGAUCAAUCCAUGAAGUUAAAUGGGUGAAAAGUAGGUCAAAAUCAAGCAAGGUAGCAAGCAUAACAGCAAGUUUCUCGCUGCAGCGAAGUUCAUUCUCGCUGCAGCGAGAUUCAGGAGCCAAAACAGAAUGUUUCUCGCUACAGCGAGAAGCAGGGCACAUAAGUGUAAAAAGGACCUCCUUUGCAUUAAAAAUCCAUUUGGUGUUGCAAUAAAAAUAAAUUUGCAAGAAAAUGAAAAAUUCUCAAGAUUCAUCAUGCUAAAUUUCACAUGCAUUACAACCAUAUACCAUAUUCAUGAACUUUUAUUUCACAAACAUAUAAAUACAUAUAUACAUAAAUAAACACCAAUACCACCAUCUCACCCAGCUCAUGUGCAUCCCCCCACAUUGUGCACAUAGCCGGAGUCGUCGACAUCAUCGACUUAUGCGCACUCCUUACUCGCACAUAGUCGGGUCAUCAUCAUCAUCGGCUUAUGCGCACUCCCUACUCGCACAUAGCCGGGUCAAUAUUAUCACACAACAUUAUUCAUCAAUGCACAAUAUAUAUUCAUAUAUAUAUACAUACAUACCAACAUAAUAUAAAAGCACAUGGAUUCAUCCUUUUACACUUUUCACAUUUUAGCAACAUCAAAAUAUUUAUCAAGGGCUUGUUUCCAAGCACCCAUUUUUAAUGAAAAGGUUGAUAAAAUCAUGCAAAUAAUUCAUCUCAACACAAUUCUAUUUUUCAAAACAAUUUUGAAAUGCAAGUUCACUCACCGAUAUUUGUUAAAUCUUUAAUUGACUCUAACUUCGAUUAUUGCUUCAAACGGACAUAUGAGGCCUUGUUGGAACCUAUCACCCAUAAUAUAACUAUCAAAAAUAUAACAGUCCAUAAAUCAAAUUUCUAGCCAUCUCUAACACCUUAAAAUCAAAUUCUAACUCAUUUCUCACCUUGGUGGUCUUUUUUUUUUUUUUGUAGUUGAAUUCCUUUUCAAAAGCUUCCAAUCUACUAUGGCAAGUCCCUCUUUCUCUCUCUAAAACUUUUAACUAGUGAGAGAAAGUAUUGAACAAAGACUUUUUAAGGGUUUGAAGGUGUAAAAGUGGAAGAGCAUGAAAAACUGUAUGAAAUAGUGGGCAAAAGCAUGAAAUUUGGAGCUAGAGAGAGAAAGUUAUGGAAGUUGCAAAGCAAGCUUCCAUGGAGGAUGGAAGCAACGUGAG
rnacentral:lncRNA from 1 species